rnacentral:rRNA from 1 species
ACUCAAAUGAAUUGACGGGGGCCCGCACAAGCGGUGGAGCAUGUGGUUUAAUUCGACGCAACGCGAAGAACCUUACCAGGUCUUGACAUCCCUUGACCGCCUAAGAGAUUAGGAAUUCUAGAGCUUGCUUUAGACAAGGAGACAGGUGGUGCAUGGUUGUCGUCAGCUCGUGUCGUGAGAUGUUGGGUUAAGUCCCGCAACGAGCGCAACCCUUACUUUUAGUUGCUAACAGGUAAUGCUGAGCACUCUAGAGGGACUGCCGGUGAUAAACCGGAGGAAGGUGGGGAUGACGUCAAAUCAUCAUGCCCCUUAUGACCUGGGCUACACACGUGCUACAAUGGCCUGUACAAAGGGUAGCGAAGGGGUGACCCGGAGCCAAUCCCAACAAAGCAGGUCUCAGUUCGGAUUGUAGUCUGCAACUCGACUACAUGAAGUCGGAAUCGCUAGUAAUCGCGGAUCAGCACGCCGCGGUGAAUACGUUCCCGGGCCUUGCACACACCGCCCGU